UACGUAGGGGGCUAGCGUUGUCCGGAAUCAUUGGGCGUAAAGAGCGUGUAGGCGGCCCGGUAAGUCCGCUGUGAAAGUCAAAGGCUCAACCUUUGAAUGUCAGCGGAUACUGCCGGGCUAGAGUCCGGAAGAGGCGAGUGGAACUCCUGGUGUAGCGGUGGAAUGCGCAGAUAUCAGGAGGAACACCAAUAGCGAAGGCAGCUCGCUGGGACGGUACUGACACUGAGGCGCGAAAGCGUGGGGAGCGAACAGG
rnacentral:rRNA from 1 species